AAGGUGGUGUGUACUUGGGCCUUGUAGUUGGGCCUAAGUGAUUUAUAAUUGAUUUUGUGGGCUGGGUGAAGUCCUAGCUUACUUAUCUUUUAGAGUGGAGGGCAUUGCAUGAGAUUGUUUUUGACAGAACAGAUCAUCUCCAAUCCAGUCAGAAACGACGACAAAACUUCGACAAGUGCUGAUCCAAUCAACUCCGCUGAGUGACAUUCUCGCUCAAAUUGGAGCUUCUUUCAUCAGCUCGGAACAAUCAGACUUAGAGGAAGAACAGGUUCAAUUAGGAGAUCGCCAGAAGCCAGAAGAUCCUCCGCAGGAGUACUCUGUAGACCGAGCAGAAGAAGCCGAAGCCUAGUCAUUUCUUUUAUCAGCUGUUAGUCCUUAGUUUACUUUUCUAGCAUUCCUAUUUCCGCCUGAUCGUUGUAUUUUAUAUUUUCCAGUAUUUUAUUCAGAUAGCUAGUCUUGUAUAAGGGCAUGUUGACCCGAACAUUAUGCCUGGGAUGAUAUUAUAUUUGUGAUA